rnacentral:rRNA from 1 species
GACGAACGCUGGCGGCGUGCCUAACACAUGCAAGUCAACUUGACUGAAGGAGCAAUCUGACAGUAGAGUGGCGCAAGGGUGCGUAACGCGUAAGUAACUUGCCCAAGGUAAGGAAUAACGUCGAGAAAUCGGCGCUAAUACCUCAUAAUGCAGCGGAUCCGCAUGGAUAUGUUGUUAAAGGUUUACCGCCUUGGGAUAGGCUUGCGUCUGAUUAGCUAGUUGGUGUGGUAACGGCACACCAAGGCUACGAUCAGUAACUGGUCUGAGAGGAUGAUCAGUCACACUGGAACUGAGACACGGUCCAGACUCCUACGGGAGGCAGCAGUGAGGAAUAUUGGGCAAUGCUCGAAAGAGUGACCCAGCAACGCCGCGUGGAGGAUGAAGGUAUUCUAUAUCGUAAACUCCUGUGAGAGCAGACGAAAGACAGAUAUUAAUACUGGAUGACUGUAUGCUCAGAGGAAG